rnacentral:tRNA from 1 species
UCCCUGGUAGCUCAGCCGGUAGAGUAUCCGCCUGCAAUGCAGGAGACCUGGGUUCAAUCCCUGGAUUGGGAA